UCAAACUUGGUCAUUUAGAGGAAGUAAAAGUCGUAACAAGGUUUCCGUAGGUGAACCUGCGGAAGGAUCAUUAUUGAAUAAGAAUGGUAGGCUGUAGCUGGCUUUUCGAAGCAUGUGCACGUCUGCUGUCUUAAUCUAUCCCCCUGUGCAUCUCUUGUAGUCUUGUGGGCAGAGUGACCAUGGAACCUCUUCCCAGAGGUCUCUGUGGACAAUAGCUAUGCUUGCAGGUCUAUGUCUUUUCAUAUACAUUGUAGUAUGUUACAGAAUGUGAUGGAUAUGGGCCUCUGUGCCUAUAGAAACUCUAUACAACUUUCAGCAACGGAUCUCUUGGCUCUCGCAUCGAUGAAGAACGCAGC
rnacentral:misc_RNA from 1 species